GCCUUCAGCCUGCCUCAGCCUCCCAAAGUGCCGGGAUUACAGACGUGAGCCACUGUGCCCGGCUGACCUUUUUGACUUUUAUGUAUCAACUUCAGGAGCUGACUCAGAGAAACACACUGCUACCAAGCAGGUUUCCGAGUGUGUAAGUAUGAGGGCCUGUGAAUUGCCCAAGGUCAUGCCCCUAUGGAGGUAAUGCACAUGGGCUGAGGCAGUUUGUUCACGGCAACAGGUGAGCAGAGAUCAAGUCCAGGUGCCUGACUCCUAAGUUAGUCUCUUUUUCAUGUCUCCAAACCACUUGUCUGUUCCCUACCAGACUAGAGGUCCCUUUAGAACUUGCCUUUUUAUCUUUAACUCUGCAGUGCCUGAUGCGUUACCGCAUACAGGGUGUGCGCUCUGAAUAUUCAUUGACUACAUUCUACUAGAGUCAGAGAAACAAGCUCUCCAGCUCCCACGACGGUCCAGGCACAUAGUGGUAACAGGCCUAACUAGAGCUGAGCACUGCAAGAAGAUGUGAAAUAACCCUCUAUUUCUUUUGUACAUCUAGAUUUUCACUAUUCAACACAAAGAAUAGUUUCUCUAGGAAAAGUGCUAAGCCUCAAAUUGCAAUGUAUAAUACAUGGCACAACCUCUGCUGGUGUCACCGGAAACAAUGAGGUUUUCCGAAUAUGUCUAAGAAAUGCACUUAUUUCUACAAAUGGCACAUCGAUUGUUGGAAUUCUGUACCUAACCAACAUAAAUUCUAUGACUAUGAAGGUGGUAUAUACUGUAUGAAAAUGUACAUCAUUAUUUAAAAAUAGGCAUUUCACCGAAAUUGCUAAAUGAGAACUAUGUGUUCUAAGUUCUAGGUCAACUGUCAAUGGGAAAAAUACUUGAUUUAUUUGCCACUUAUGGUAGUAUAGCUUAAAUGGGAUUCUUUCCUUUGUGAGAGAUCCAGAGACGUUGUUCUCACUGGACUCUACAGGGAAAAAAAAGCCCCGUCCCAAGCCCCAGUGCAUUCCCUGGACCCAAACAGUCAUUGUAGCUAAGAGAGCAGAUUUCAUUUCAUCAAUGUACAGAUUUCUGUCUUAAAUGUUACUUCUGCCUGUUAAUACUGUAAGAAAUAAUAUAUCCAUAAAAAUAUAUUUAGGGCAAACAAACAUCACAGCCCUCUCAAAGUUUCAAAACAGAUGCAUAAUCGUUAUCUUCCCAUCUUAGCACAAAAGCUAGAGUUUAUAUGGGAUCUUCAGCUGGUCCAAGUUAUACCGAUUCUUGCCUUUUGACAAAGCAUUAAGACUUUAUUUGAGAUUUUUAAAUUGCAGGUGUGUUCUCAGUAAUGCAGAAUUCAUUUUAAAUAACAUUAUAUUUUUAUUCCCUUACCGGGAUUAUUGUUUGCAAGAAACUCAGUGUUGAGGCUUCACACUGGGAAGGUGGGAGCCAGGCAGAGGCUGACAUGAGGAAACCUCCAUGAGCCAUGACCUUGGGACAUUUGCAGGCCCCCUGCCUCAAACACUCAAGAAACCUAUUUGAGACCAACCUAUCAGCUAAGAAAAUAUCUUUGGUGAAUACAAUGCUGAUUUCAAAGAAUCUCAGAAUUGGAAGUGACCUUUAAAAAAUCACUGUAGCCCAGCCAUCUCUCAGAGCAAAGAUUCUUCUUAUUCUUGAGACAUCAACCCCUUUAAGAUUACAAAAGAAAAGGAAAGAAAAAGAAAAAAGGCUAUGAUCUUCAUCCCAGAAAGAUGCACAUAAUCUACAUAUGAAAAUCAUCACAACUAUUUUCAAGGGAUCCAUUAAGAAUUCCUGCCUUAGAUUCUUGCCGUAUUUGAAAAGAAAGCUAAGGAGACUGAGGGGAGGGUUCCGGGUGUGUUGCAGUGUACACUUCCUUCUGCACUUUCAUCUGAACUGUUCAUGAAGAGCGUCCUUUUCAGCCUAAGUGUCUGAAGGAGGCUCACCAACCUGCCAAGAGGCAGUGCUAUGGCAGAUCUGCAGGAGUGCAUGAACCCCCAGCCAUACUGAUUUCUAAGUGAGCAAUGGCUUCCUCCACGCAUGGACAGGAAAACUUUCCUUGAGCUUCUUUUCAUUCAAUCUAGCAAAAUGGAACAUAAAUGGUCCCAAGUACAAGCCGGAUCCCACCUGAAGUCACCUAUUAACUUGGCUCCAUCCAACAGCUUGCCUCAUUGUCUUCACUUGCACACAAGGAAGGCCAAGCCAGGGAAACACCAGGUAGGCUGGAAAAAUAAGCCUAGGUGAUUGGUUUCUGGCCCAUCAUGCAAUAUUUCUUAUCAGGUUUUGCAACUGGGCUUUGGCUGGGCCUCAGCCCAGAGUCUAGGGAGAAUGGAGAGCUCCUCCUUAGAUUAAGUGGCCAAGGGGUGUGGAGGUUUUCCUCUCACAUUGUUACCAUUGAGGACCAUUUCUUCUCCCCUCCCAGUAGGAGAAAAACACUCAGUCAUAAUAAUUAAUGUACUUUGGAGCUAUUUGGCGUCAAAAAAAUGCCAUGAAGACUAUAGAACACAGAAUCUGAAACAACCUUGAGAACAGUAUGCUGAGUCAAAGAACCAGACACAAAAGGCACAUCUUGCAUGAUUCCAUUUAUAUGAAAUAUCCAAAAAAGGCAAAUUCAUAGAGACACAAUGUAGACUAGUGGUUGCCAGGGGCUGGGAGGAGGGGGAGGGAAGGGUAACUGCUUAAUUGGUCUGUGGUUUCUUUUUGGGGUGACGAAAACAUUGUGGAACUAGAUAGUGGCAGUGGUUACACAACCUUUUGAUUAUAUGAAAUGCCACUGAAUUGUGAGCUUUAAAAUGCCUAAAAUGCUGAAUUUUAUGUUAUGUGUCUUUUACCACAAUAAAAAGAAAAAUCCCAUAGGGUUCUUUUCUAUUAGGCUCGCAAUUUGUUUAGAUAAACAAAAUCAUGUAAAACCAAAACUGGGGAAGCUAUUUUAAUAAAAGAGAAAGGAAGAAAAUUACUGUCACCUGAACAGUGGUGAAGUAUAUUUUUAUCAGAGUUUAACGCAUGCAGGGAGGAAUCAGUCUUCAUAAGCCAAUGCGAUUUCUUCUUUUUACAGAUAAAGAAGUUAAGACUUUUGUGGUAACCUGGUCUUCAGGAGCAGACAUCUAGAUUUGAGUCUUUUUCUAGGCAGAUUUAUGGGCUAUGUGACUUAACUGCAGUUACCUGGGCUCUCAGAACCUCAGUUUCCACAUCAGUAAACUGAAAAUAUCUAGGGCUGAUCUUCCGAAAAUAUCAUCAGACCUCAUGAUUCACCAAAGCCAAAUCAAUUAGAAGUUACUUCGAGAAGAGAGAAUACCACCAUGACAAAGUCUCAGCAGUGCCUCAUAAGAAGGAAGUCAAAAUGGAUAUUUAUAGGGUUUCGGCACCUAGAGGCACAUAUGAUUCACAGCAGGUCUUUCAAAGUGCAACCGGUUGAGAUUGGGCAGGCUGUGCAACAUAAUAGUGUAAGAUUGGCCGGCUUAGCAGCACAAAGGUCUUGAAGCAAGUCUUGACAAGUGAACUGUUGUUUGAAUAGCCAGCUGCUUGCCUGUUGUCUCAGAUAAAUUCCUACAGGAAUUUUCUGAAGCAAACUGUGCAGUUAUUUAUUGAUUUACAGACUUACUCCUGUUGAGGGAAGAGUUCCUGGAACAAACAGCUAAAUUGUGAUAACACAGGUGGUCUCAGUUUCAGUCCUCAGUCUGUCAUGUCUGAUACUGGCUGGAGUUCCCAGAGAUGCUAUGGUCACGUGUCAAGUGCAUAGCCUGGGAACUCAAUAAAUCCUUCAUUUUUCCCCAAAGCAUCACCACCAUUCCCUCUCAAAACUCGCUCCUUGAUAGUGAAUCUCUGUCAGAACUAGAAGCAAGGUUUGUGCUGUACAGACUGGAACCCUUCCUGCCAUCCACUGGCGGACUGGGCUCCACUUCUUUGGUCAAAGGCAAAUUCAUUCAGCUACAAUAAAAAGUCCCAAGUCUUUUCACCACUCUGAAUAAGGUAGCAGCAGAACGCAGGGUUAUGAUGCUGACAGACCAAGGCCCUAGGUUCCCUGUCGCUUGAUUUGUGACCCUAGGCCAGUUAUCUCCCUCUUUCAGCCUCACUUCCUCAUCCAGAAGAUGAGGACGAUCAUGCUUAGCACACAAUACAUAUUCGGCUAACUUUUUAAAUUAAGUAAAUUGUUGUCUUAAAUUUUAUUUAAAUUUUUUUUCUAAGGUUGCAUAAAGAUGAAAUUUUCUUGUUUUGUUUCCAUUUGUUUCCGGUUGUCUCUUAUCUUCUGGGAGGACCUGGGUUACGGCUCCCUGGACAUGAAGGAAUCAGUCUUUCAUGUGGGAUCCUGGGCCUGACCUGUUCAGAGGGAGAAUGCAGAAUCUCACGGGACAAGGGAAAUUCAAGCUUUCAAAUCUACAGAGCCCUAGGACAUGGGAGACUAUUAAGUUCACUAGAGCAGAAGAUCUUUAAAUAGUAGCCCCUGGAGCCCUGAUGACACAGAAAGAAUUCUCAAGGUCUCCUAGAGAAAAUACUCCAUCAACUUUACGGCCAACGUGAGAUUUUGAAGAAGGGAAGACAAGUGCAACCGGUUGAGGACGGCGCACAGAGGGCUUCUAAAUUCUUCUGCAGUUUGUAGUGCUACAGAUAAGUUUUUCCAUGGGGCAGUCCAACCUCUGUUGCUGCAAGACCUGUUUUUUUUUUUUUUUAAACAAGUCAGUAAACUAACUGGAACUUCU